rnacentral:rRNA from 1 species
UACGUAGGGUGCGAGCGUUGUCCGGAAUUAUUGGGCGUAAAGAGCUCGUAGGCGGUUUGUCGCGUCGACUGUGAAAACCUAAGGCUCAACCUUGGGCUUGCAGUGGGUACGGGCAGACUAGAGUGCGGUAGGGGUGACUGGAAUUCCUGGUGUAGCGGUGGAAUGCGCAGAUAUCAGGAGGAACACCGGUGGCGAAGGCGGGUCUCUGGGCCGAUACUGACGCUGAGGAGCGAAAGCGUGGGGAGCGAACAGG